rnacentral:rRNA from 1 species
UACGUAGGUGACAAGCGUUGUCCGGAUUUACUGGGCGUAAAGAGCGCGCAGGCGGUCGAUCAAGUCGAGUGUGAAAGCCCCCGGCUCAACUGGGGAGGGUCAUUCGAUACUGAUCGACUCGAAGGCAGGAGAGGGUAGUGGAAUUCCCGGUGUAGAGGUGAAAUUCGUAGAUAUCGGGAGGAACACCAGUGGCGAAGGCGGCGACCUGGGCCAAUAUUGACGCUGAGGUGCGAAAGCGUGGGGAGCAAACAGG